rnacentral:rRNA from 1 species
UACGUAGGCAGCGAGCGUUGUUCGGAAUACUGGGCGUAAAGCGUGCGCAGGCGGUGAUGUAAGACAGAUGUGAAAUCCCCGGGCUCAACCUGGGAACUGCAUUUGUGACUGCAUCGCUGGAGUGCGGCAGAGGGGGAUGGAAUUCCGCGUGUAGCAGUGAAAUGCGUAGAUAUGCGGAGGAACACCGAUGGCGAAGGCAAUCCCCUGGGCCUGCACUGACGCUCAUGCACGAAAGCGUGGGGAGCAACAGG